GUUCUCCUCAAUCUCACUGUGGAUAAAGACAAGCGUGUCAUCUUGAAAGAAGGAGGUGGCAUUAAAAAGUUAGUGGACUGUUUAAGAGAUUUGGGUCCUACUGAUUGGCAGCUGGCCUGCUUGGUUUGUAAAACUUUAUGGAACUUCAGUGAAAACAUCACUAAUGCUUCGUCAUGUUUUGGAAAUGAAGACACCAACACACUCUUACUCUUGCUCUCAUCAUUUUUAGAUGAAGAACUAGCACUGGAUGGCAGUUUUGAUCCAGACCUAAAAAACUAUCACAAACUCCAUUGGGAAACAGAAUUCAAACCUGUGGCACAGCAGCUUCUAAACCGAAUUCAGAGACAUCACACCUUCCUGGAACCCCUGCCCAUUCCCUCUUUCUAACAUGAUGCAGAUUAACAGUAGAAACGAGAACUCACGUCUCCCUCAUUCUUAAGAACUGGUAACAAACGUGAACAUUUUUUUCAGCAUUAACAAAUGUGGAAAGUUUUUCAAGAACUGGUUUUAGUGAGUAGCUGAAGUAUUUUUUAAAAUUAAGCAUUUCUUCUUGUUAGGUAUUAUGGAAAAAUGAAUAUACACAUUAUAUUUCCUGUUGAGAGAAAUGUAAGAUGAAAAUAUGUGCAUUUUCAAGUAAAUGACUUUUUCUUCUAUUCUCUAUUAAACAAUUUAGUUCUAGUCUUAAAAUCUUGAUUUAACAAUUUUGGAAUUGAAGUGUUCAUAAGUUAAAUGAACUGUGCAAUGAAGGCUGUUAGAUUAUAUAGAAAGAAGGGUAGGCAACAUGAGUGGAACACGUUACAACAUAGGAUCUGUACUAAUUCUUACUAUGUCAAAUAAUAAAUGCUCUCAUUAGGUACC
rnacentral:lncRNA from 1 species